rnacentral:rRNA from 1 species
CAGAGGGGGCAAGUCGUUAUUCGGAAUUAUUGGGCGUAAAGGGCGCGUAGGCGGCUUUUCAAGUGACGGGUGAAAUCCCUCGGGCUUAACCGAGGAACUGCCUGUCAGACUGGAAGGCUUGAGACCGGGAGAGGUGAGUGGAAUUCCCAGUGUAGCGGUGAAAUGCGUAGAUAUUGGGAGGAACACCAGUGGCGAAGGCGGCUCACUGGACCGGAACUGACGCUGAGGCGCGAAAGCGUGGGGAGCAAACAGGAUUAGAUACCCCUGGUAGUCCACGCCGUAAACGAUGAGUGCUUGGUGUAGCGGGUAUCGACCCCUGCUGUGCCGAAGUCAACACAUUAAGCACUCCGCCUGGGGAGUACGGUCGCAAGACUG